rnacentral:rRNA from 1 species
AUGGGAUUCUACAGUUUACACGAAUCCCUUCAUCACGAGGUCACCAAACUUCUUUCCAGAUUCUUCUCGGCUGGAGAGAACAUUAAACAGAAGUACCACAUGGUCAAAUGGUCUGAGAUUUGCAAGCCCAAGGACCAGGGUGGUCUUGGGGUCAUCUCGUCCAAGCGGAUGAAUAUUGCUCUCCUCUCCAAAUGGCUGUGGCGCAUUCAGACCGGUGAUGGUGGGCUGUGGCUGGAGAUUAUACGCGCCAAGUACCUCCGUGGGCAGCCUUUGGCGUUUGCCUCUAGAGCUGGAGGUUCCCAAUUCUGGCAAUCGGUGAUCCAACUGAUGCCAGUCUUGCGUAUUGGGACCUCCAUUAGCGUUGGCUCUGGCGCCAGCACCCUGUUUUGGCUUGAUAGAUGGGCCAGGGUGAGACCCUUUGCGGAGCGGUUCUACACGUUGUUCUCUAUAUGUGCCCGCCCGCAACUUUCUGUGGCCGUGGCUCUAGCUAAUUUGGACGCGAUUGCCUUCCGUCGUACAUUCGGGGCGGUGGAACAUGCUCAAUGGGAGGAGCUGCUCGAGUGUGUUGCCCUACACACCCCUCCCUCGAGCCUGACUCGCUAUCUUGGCGGCUCGAGCCUAGCGGCCGAUUCUCUACUAGGUCCUUGUACCAGGCUAUUGUACCCACACCCAGACCAGUGGAGCUCUCGGUGA